rnacentral:pre_miRNA from 1 species
AGUGGGAUAGCUGGGUUAAAUGGUGGUUUAAUUCCCAGUGUUCUAAGUAAUCACCAUACUACUUUUUAGAUUGGUUGCACCAAUUUGCAGUCCCACCAGCUAC